rnacentral:lncRNA from 1 species
GCCUCCCGCCACCCGCUUUGGUCUCUCUGCCCCUCACUUCCUGUUUCCGUUGCCCUUCGCGCCCCCACCCCACUCCGCCCCAAAUUCCCGUGGCUCGCUCAGUCUCGGACCUCCCGGCUGAGGAGUCAGCCUCGGCGUCAGACUCGCCGGCCCGAGGGCACCUCACUCCACGCUUGGCGUUUCUCGUUUGCUGCCCGUCGUCCCUUUCACCCUCAGUACGACGGACGCAGGGGGUACCCUCCAGCCCAGCGGCUGCCCGGAGCGACACUUCCUCACUCUCCUCGUUCUCGCCAGCCCUACCCGACCCGGUGGCCCUUCUGCCUCUCCCCCCGCCCUCUGGCUUCACUCUGGAGCCGCCUGCGGGCCUUGGUCCCCGGUCUCUCCUCUCCUAGGGCCCCAGUCCACACCACGGCCCACCCUCUCCGCCGUUCCGCUUCUCACGCUCCUCCUCGGACCCCUCUCUGCUGCCAGUGCUCUGUCGCCCUCCUCUGCCCCCGAGACGCUGAACUUCGCAGGCUGCCUGUUUCUUUAGAUGGCACCAUGCUUCUUGG